GGGGAAUAUUGGACAAUGGGCGAAAGCCUGAUCCAGCAAUGCCGCGUGAGUGAUGAAGGCCUUAGGGUUGUAAAGCUCUUUUACCCGGGAUGAUAAUGACAGUACCGGGAGAAUAAGCUCCGGCUAACUCCGUGCCAGCAGCCGCGGUAAUACGGAGGGAGCUAGCGUUGUUCGGAAUUACUAGGCGUAAAGCGCACGUAGGCGGCUUUGUAAGUUAGAGGUGAAAGCCUGGAGCUCAACUCCAGAAUUGCCUUUAAGACUGCAUCGCUUGAAUCCAGGAGAGGUGAGUGGAAUUCCGAGUGUAGAGGUGAAAUUCGUAGAUAUUAGGAAGAACAUCAGUGGCGAAGGCGGCUUUCUGGACUGUAACUGACGCUGAGGCAUGAAAGCGUGGGGAGCAAAC
rnacentral:rRNA from 1 species